AGUGAACGCUGGCGGUAGGCCUAACACAUGCAAGUCGAACGGCAGCACAGUAAGAGCUUGCUCUUACGGGUGGCGAGUGGCGGACGGGUGAGGAAUACAUCGGAAUCUACUUUUUCGUGGGGGAUAACGUAGGGAAACUUACGCUAAUACCGCAUACGACCUACGGGUGAAAGCAGGGGAUCUUCGGACCUUGCGCGAUUGAAUGAGCCGAUGUCGGAUUAGCUAGUUGGCGGGGUAAAGGCCCACCAAGGCGACGAUCCGUAGCUGGUCUGAGAGGAUGGUCAGCCACACUGGAACUGAGACACGGUCCAGACUCCUACGGGAGGCAGCAGUGGGGAAUAUUGGACAAUGGGCGCAAGCCGGAUCCAGCCAUACCGCGUGGGUGAAGAAGGCCUUCGGGUUGUAAAGCCCUUUUGUUGGGAAAGAAAAGCAGCAGGUUAAUACCCCGCUGUUCUGACGGUACCCAAAGAAUAAGCACCGGCUAACUUCGUG
rnacentral:rRNA from 1 species